ACCUUCAUGGUGAAGCGGUCAGCACGCUCGGCGCGUAUUCGAGAGGUCCGAGGUUCGAAUCCUGGCGAAGGUA
rnacentral:tRNA from 1 species